UCAGGAUUACCAAGGAUCUACUAGUGCAAUUUUAUAGUCGAGAAGAUAAUAACUCGGGUAAGGUAACAAUUUCGUCAAGACGCCUUCACUAUAUCACUUACCAAAACUUUAACAACAAACACUCAUUAAACUUUCCUAAGGCUACAGUGGUGUAAUAAACCUACUAAACCAAGCAAUGGUGUAAUAAACGUCAUACCUAAGGCUACAUAAAUCUGAUAAGCACUCCUUAAACCUUCCUAGGCAAUCAUGAGCAACAUAUGUGCCUGAAACUUUACAACAUCUACAUGAGAAUAUUACUAGUGCAAGCCCCGGAUAAAUGUAUGUAAUGUGAUGCCGAGAAGUUAAUUUGGGCCACUACAAUUUUUACAUCUCCAAGAAAAUCCAAAAGUAGUGUAUAUUCAACAAGUAAUGGCUACCAAAUAUAAUCUAUAUGCCGAACCAAUUUCCACAAAGCGUACAUUCAAUCUUAGAGACUCAACAUACAUUAAUAUUUUUGAACUCUAAGAAACGGAAAAGGCAGACAACAAUAACCUUCACGUAUACAAACUUAGCUUAACUAAAGAUUCAUUGGAUUCCAAAAUCAAAGAGGCAUGUUUCAAACAAUCUAAAAUUAGAACGAAAUAAACUCAACCAAACGGUCAACGAAGAGAAGAGAAAAGAUAAAACAGUAAACCAAUCGGCCUAUAUUUAUUUACACUAGUCGAGAUAUAAAACAACAUCAGCUCACAAAUGAGAACAAACCUCCUCUUAGAAACUAAAAUUUAAGACUUCAAAUUGAACCACAAUCAUAAACAACAAGAUGAGAUCAUGUAAUGAGGUAAAAGUACACUAAUCGGAAGAACUCAUCUCGACAUUAAAUGGGAUUAGUCCAACUUUCGGCGAGAAAAUAAUAAUCGAAAAAUCAUUUUAAAUAAACGAACCAACUACACACUGAUUUACAACCAACAUUCAAUCAUAAUGUACCCCAAAUCAUAACAUUUGAACCCUUACUCAAUCAAGAAUCAAGUAAUCAACACAUUAAGGAUAAAGAGACAUGGGCUGAAAUUAGAUGUUAC
rnacentral:lncRNA from 1 species